AUUGAACGCUGGCGGCAGGCUUAACACAUGCAAGUCGAGCGCGCGGCGGACGGGUGAGAAAUGUCUGGGAAACUGCCUGAUGGAGGGGGAUAACUACUGGAAACGGUAGCUAAUCCCGCAUACCAUCAGAUGUGCCCAGAUGGUAUUAGCUAGUAGGUGGGGUAAUGGCUCACCUAGGCGACGAUCCCUAGCUGGUCUGAGAGGAUGACCAGCCACCCUGGAACUGAGACACAGUCCAGACUCCUACUGGAGGUAGCGGUGGGGAAUAUUGCACGAGGGGCGCAAGCCUAAUGCAGCCAUGCCGCGUGUGUGAAGAAGGCCUUCGGGUUGGAGAGCACUUUCAGCGUGUAGGCGUUACUCGCAGAAGAAGCACCGGCUAACUCCGUGCCAGCAGCCGCGGUAAUUC
rnacentral:rRNA from 1 species